UGUCACAUGACUCUUCUAUUUUUGCAGCAAAAGACAAACACAGUUACCACCCCUGGAAAUUGAUUCAAGACUUCUGGCAUCCUUUAAUAUCCCAAACUUCCUACCUGGGCUAAACACAUUCUCCAGCUGUCCAUUAUUGGCCAAAUCCUGCAAUAAGGAAAGGUGGGGCAGCUGAUAGAUUUAAUGCAUAUUGAUUUAAAACAGUUUAAAGCCUAUUUAAUAAAAAGCAAAAGACACAGUUUGUAAAACACUACAAUAACUCGUUCCUUGUCAAGGAAUCAGCUCCUUCAGUUCCUGUUGGAAUAAAACAGUCUUCAUCUUCUAGGGCAGCAAAAAGCUCACCUGGAAUACUGUAUCCAUUUCUGGGCACUUCAAUUCAAGAAUGAUAUUGAGAAGCUGGAUGGUGUGCAGAGGAGGAUAGUAAAGUUGAUCAAAGGUUUAAAAACCAAGUCACCACCAACAGGCAGGGGUGCCUGGACAGCAUCCAGUUGCUCUUCUACAGCCAGGAAAAAGAGCAAGCAUCGCCUUCUGGAUCUCUGGAGAUUCAGGAAGGUGAUGGCUAUUCCUUUCUUUUCACUGCAGAACAGAAACUGGAGACCACCUGAGUACCUGCAUCCUCAUCUAGCCCAUGAAUGGUUGCCCCUUGCCCAGAUACUAAAUCACCAUAAUGUAAAGCUGCCUUCUGUGCAGAGGGGAGAUUUUGCCAAAGAAGGCACUGGACUUGUCCUUCUCCAAAGAAACACAUGCUGAGUAAUACCUGGUUACAUUGGCAUGUAUUCCAGCCAUAGACUCCUGAAAUGCUGUUUGGAAUCCUUCCUUUUCUAUGUUCUAUGCAAGGAAUUCACGGCCCCAGUCAGCCUUGCACUUUGACAUGCAAGCAAGGGUUCAGUACAUGGUUACUUUAAUUUCAUCUAAAUAACUCCUCUCAUCUGAAAGGAAUCUAUAUCAACAGAACAAGGCUAAGGUUUUCAUAUCUUUUGGUCUGAUUCUCCAGAUGAGUGAGUCAAGUAGAAAUGUUUGUAGGAACUUCUGUAAUCAUUCCUUUUGCAUUCCCUUUAUAGCUUUGGAUCAUGUCAUGAAAAUACACAUUGUAUUUAUAUUUCACAGCAAUCUGUCACUGCAAUGUCAUAAUCAGUUCUGCUCCAUGCUGUCAUUUGACUUUAGGAACUCUGAAUAAAAGUCUCUUGCUAAUAUUUAACCCA